UAAUGGGUAAGGAACUUGGCAAAUUAGCGGACGUACUUUCGAAAUAAGUCCUGUCUCCAGUAAUGGAGAUCGCAGCGAAAGAGAUGGGGGGAACUGUUUAUCAAAAACACAGCUCGCUGCUAACUCGUAAGAGGAUGUAUAGCGGGUGAUGCCUGUCCAAUGCCAGAAUGUUAUGCUCUCUUGUGCAAGCUCGAGGGUUAAGCACUGGUGAAUGACGGCCGUAACUAUGACGGUCCUAAGGUAGCGAAAUUCCUUGUCAGGUAAGUUCUGACGCGCAUGAAUGGCAUAAUCAUCCCCAUGCUGUCUUACCCUUAGACUCGGUGAAAUUACAAUCCCGGUAAAAAUGCCGGGUAGUCACAGUUAGACGGAAAGACCCUGUGAAGCUUUACUGUAGAUUGAUAUUGGACUGUAGCAUGUUUUGCUCAGUAUAGGUGGGAGGCUUUGAUGUUUCGACUUCGGUUGGGGCGGAGCCAAAAGUGAGAUACCACCCAAAAUAUGUAGCAGUUCUAAUCCCUGUGUUGGGAGACAGUUUCAGUUGGACAGUUUACCUGGGGCGGGUGCCUCCUAAAAAGUAGCGGAGGCGUGCAAAGGUUUGCUUACUACGGAUGGAAACCGUGGUGAAUGUGUAUUCGCAAAAGCAAGCUUGACUGUGAGACUGACAGGUCGAACAGAUACGAAAGUAGGCGAAAGUGAUCCGGAUCUUCCGAGUGGAAGGGGAUCCGCUCAACGGAUAAAAGUUACUCCGGGGAUAACAGGCUAAUGGAAUCUAAGCGUUCAUAGCGACGAUUCCGUUUGGCACCUCGAUGUCGACUCGUCGCAUCCUGGGGCUGUAGAAGGUCCCAAGGGUUGGGUUGUUCACCCAUUAAAGCGGGACGCGAGUUGGGUUCAGAACGUCGUGAGACAGUUCGGUCCCUAUCUACUGUGACCGUAGGAUAUUUGAGAGAUGCUGACCCUAGUACGAGAGGACCGGGUUGGACGAGCCUCUGAUAGUACCAGUUGUUCCACCAGGAGCACGGCUGGAUAGUUAAGCUCGGAAAAGGUAACCGCUGAAAGCAUCUAAGUGGGAAACUUGUCUCAAGAUUAGAUAUCCCUCUCCUUUAUGGAGGUAAGACCUCUGGUAGACUACCAGUUUGAUAGGCAUUAAGUGUAAGCCCUGUAAGGGGUUGAGCUGAGAUGUACUAAUUGGUCGAGCGGGUUUAUCGU
rnacentral:rRNA from 1 species